AUGGUCAUAUGACGUGGAAACACUGGUUCCCUUACAAUCAUCGAAGUUAAGCAGCGUCCAGGCUGGUCGGUACCUAGAUGGGUGACCGCUUUGGAUUACCAGUUGCUGUAA